rnacentral:rRNA from 1 species
CCGCAUACGUCCUACGGGAGAAAGCAGGGGACCUUCGGGCCUUGCGCUAUCAGAUGAGCCUAGGUCGGAUUAGCUAGUUGGUGGGGUAAUGGCUCACCAAGGCGACGAUCCGUAACUGGUCUGAGAGGAUGAUCAGUCACACUGGAACUGAGACACGGUCCAGACUCCUACGGGAGGCAGCAGUGGGGAAUAUUGGACAAUGGGCGAAAGCCUGAUCCAGCCAUGCCGCGUGUGUGAAGAAGGUCUUCGGAUUGUAAAGCACUUUAAGUUGGGAGGAAGGGCAUUAACCUAAUACGUUAGUGUUUUGACGUUACCGACAGAAUAAGCACCGGCUAACUCUGUGCCAGCAGCCGCGGUAAUACAGAGGGUGCAAGCGUUAAUCGGAAUUACUGGGCGUAAAGCGCGCGUAGGUGGUUUGUUAAGUUGGAUGUGAAAGCCCCGGGCUCAACCUGGGAACUGCAUCCAAAACUGGCAAGCUAGAGUACGGUAGAGGGUGGUGGAAUUUCCUGUGUAGCGGUGAAAUGCGUAGAUAUAGGAAGGAACACCAGUGGCGAAGGCGACCACCUGGACUGAUACUGACACUGAGGUGCGAAAGCGUGGGGAGC